rnacentral:rRNA from 1 species
CGGAGAGGGCGCAUGAGAAACGGCUACCACUUCUAAGGAAGGCAGCAGGCGCGCAAAUUACCCAAUCCUGACUCAGGGAGGUAGUGACAAGAAAUAACAAUAAACCGGCUUAUGCCGGUUUAAUUGGAAUGAGUACAAUUUAAACAUCUUAACGAGGAACAAUUGGAGGGCAAGUCUGGUGCCAGCAGCCGCGGUAAUUCCAGCUCCAAUAGCGUAUACUAAAGUUGUUGCAGUUAAAAAGCUCGUAGUUGGAUUUCUGCGGGGACGGAGCGGCCGGACGCAACUUGCGUCUCGAGCUAGCGCUUUCUCCGCAUCCUGCCGCGAACCGUGCUACCAUUAGUUUGGUGGCGCUGGGGAUCGGCUCGAUUACUUUGAGAAAAAUAGAGUGUUCAAAGCAGGCCACACGCCUUGAAUAAGUUAGCAUGGAAUAAUGACUAAGGACUUUGGUUCUUUUCGUUGGUGUUCGGGACUGAAGUAAUGAUUGAUAGGGACAGUUGGGGCGGUCCGUAUUCCAAAGCGAGAGGUGAAAUUCUUAGACCUUCGGAAGACGAACAGCUGCGAAAGCGUUCCGCAAGGAUGUUCCCUUUGAUCAAGAACGAAAGUUGGGGGAUCGAAGACGAUCAGAUACCGUCGUAGUCUCAACUAUAAACUAUACCAGCUAGGGACCGGCCAACGUUUAAUUAUUCGACUUGGUCGGCACCUUAUGAGAAAUCAAAGCAUCUGGGUUCCGGGGGGAGUAUGGUCGCAAGGCUGAAACUUAAAGGAAUUGACGGAAGGGCACCACCAGGCGUGGAGCCUGUGGCUUAAUUUGACUCAACACGGGAAAACUUACCAGGUCCAGACAUAGGAAGGAUUGACAGAUUGAUAGCUCUUUCUUGAUUCUGUGGGUGGUGGUGCAUGGCCGUUUUUAGUCGGUGAAGUGAUUUGUCUGCUUAAUUGCGUUAACGGACGAGACCCCAGCCUGCUAAAUAGCGCGGCCGAGCUUUGCUCGGUACGAGCUUCUUAGAGGGACCAUGAUGCGCGAUAGCACAAGGAAGUUUGGGGCAACAACAGGUCUGUGACGCCCUUAGAUGUUCUGGGCCGCACACGGGCUACACUGGCGCCUGCAACGAGCAUAUCAGCUGGCCCGAGAGGGUCUUGGCUAAUCUUUGGAACCGGCGCCGUGCUUGGGAUUGACCAUUGCAAUUGUUGGUCAUGCAACGAGGAAUGCCUUGUAAACGCGAGUCAUCAGCUCGCAUUGAAUACGUCCCUGCCCUUUGUACACACGGCCCGUCGCUCCUACCGAUGAAUGUUCCGAUGAAAUUUUCGGAGAGCGCCGGAGAACGGGGCUCUGCCCUGCAGAACUGGAGGCUCAAAGUCACUUAAAUCUGAACACUUCGAGGAAGGAGAAGUCGUAACAAGGUAACC